rnacentral:rRNA from 1 species
GACGAACGCUGGCGGCGUGCUUAACACAUGCAAGUCGAACGGAAAGGCCCUGCUUUUGUGGGGUGCUCGGGUGGCGAACGGGAGAGGAACACGUGAGUAACCUGCCCUUGACUUUGGGAUAACUUCAGGAAACUGGGGCUAAUACCGGAUAGGAGCUCCUGCUGCAUGGGGGGGGUUGGAAAGGUUCGGCGGUUGGGGAUGGACUCGCGGCUUAUCAGCUUGUUGGUGGGGUAGUGGCUUACCAAGGCUUUGACGGGUAGCCGGCCUGAGAGGGUGACCGGCCACAUUGGGCCUGCGAUACGGCCCAGACUCCUACGGGAGGCAGCAGUGGGGAAUAUUGCACAAUGGGCGGAAGCCUGAUGCAGCAACGCCGCGUGCGGGAUGACGGCCUUCGGGUUGUAAACCGCUUUCGCCUGUGACGAAGCGUGAGUGACGGUAAUGGGUAAAGAAGCACCGGCUAACUACGUG